rnacentral:rRNA from 1 species
GGCGGACGGGUGAGUAACGCGUGAGAAUCUGCCUUUAGGACGGGGACAACAGUUGGAAACGGCUGCUAAAACCCGAUGUGCCCUUCGGGGUGAAAUAUUUAUAGCCUGAAGAUGAGCUCGCGUCUGAUUAGCUAGUUGGUAAGGUAAAGGCUUACCAAGGCGACGAUCAGUAACUGGUCUGAGAGGAUGACCAGUCACACUGGGACUGAGACACGGCCCAGACUCCUACGGGAGGCAGCAGUGGGGAAUUUUCCGCAAUGGGCGCAAGCCUGACGGAGCAAUACCGCGUGAGGGAGGAAGGCUCUUGGGUCGUAAACCUCUUUUAUCAGGGAAGAACACAAUGACGGUACCUGAUGAAUCAGCAUCGGCUAACUCCGUGCCAGCAGCCGCGGUAAUACGGAGGAUGCAAGCGUUAUCCGGAAUUAUUGGGCGUAAAGCGUCCGCAGGUGGUUUUGAAAGUUUGCUGUCAAAGCGCGAGGCUCAACUUCGUACCGGCGGUGAAAACUUCAAGACUAGAGUUUGGUAGGGGUCACGGGAAUUCCCAGUGUAGCGGUGAAAUGCGUAGAUAUUGGGAAGAACACCAGCGGCGAAAGCGCGUGACUGGGCCUGAACU